UGUCCGCUGAGUGUAGGUGUGAGAACUGGGCAUGUCGUCGGUGUCGAAAUCGCGAUCCACCAUCACCUCUGCUCGGUGCCCUCCAACAGUCCUCCUGCAGCUCGCCGCGUUGGGCACCAUCUCUAGCGCGCGCCCUCUCUCUGCUCCCUCUCCAUGUAACCGGCAACGAACCAUUGGAGAUGCGACCGACGCUCUGGGAGCUCGAUGCCUCGGCCCUGGUGCCUCCGCAACUGGGGUCCUAUCCUCGCAACGCAAGGUUAGGGGUCAUCCUCCGCACUCGCCUCGGUCGCCUGCUUGCAUAUGGUCACCUUGGGUAGAAUUGGGGGGCAUCUGGGGUGCGGGGGGUACGGCACGGUUCCUCUCCGGCGGGUACGCCGCCGGGUGAGCUCUGCUCCUCGUGCUGGUCGCACCGUUGGGGAAGAGAGGUAUCCACCGUCAAUCAGUUUUGGGACGGGUUUGAUGCUGUCCCGGCCUGGGUAGGGCUGUAGCCGUGCGAUUGCCAUCGAUAAGCUGAAUUUUGACGCUAUGGUAACCCUAUGCCACAUUUAAUCUAUAUCGUCGAUGUCCGAUCUAGCGGAUGGCAACACGUACCGGUUUGCCGAUAACCAGAUUUAAUCGUGGCCCUUUAUGCAGGAUCCAGCGGCCACUGCUCACUGAUACCCCCUUCGCCAUUCCUAUUUCGCUAAAGAGCCCCUUGGAAAUUUAGUAUUUAACCCGCCGUCCAAAUCUAUGGUAACAAGUGUUGCGGAUAGGUCCCGCGUUGUUUUAGAUUAAACCCUGAUCUUUAGGGAAUUAUUGUCCACAGUCCAGCACUCGGGUAUAAUGUGGAAUUAAAACCAAAAAUAGGUUAAUGUAUAAGAAAAUAAACCCAAGAACUUGCAAAAUUCAUAUUUACCUCAUUCUAGCUCGGAAUUGAUCCAUUUCAAUUGCAUUAGACUCGGGAUAAUAUUGUCUACCAUUUAGUAACCUUACUUUACUAUGUAACUUAGUUAUAAAAAUAACGUUCAUUUUGUUUAUGUGUAACACCUAAAAUUAUUCAGAAAAUCAUAACUUUUACACCUGAACUCCAAUUUGACCAGUUCGAAUUGCGUUGGACUCGUACUAAUAUUACCUACACCAUAGUAACAUUAUUUUACCAUGUAACAUGCUCUCAAAAAUAAAUAAUUAAUUUGUCCAACCUAUGGUUAUUGGAUUAACAUGUUUAAUCUGAGUUAAUAUAGGAUUUUAAUUUGGAUCAUCUACUAGAAUAUGAUUCUGUUGUAACUUGGAUUAAAAGUUGAGUUAGUUAUAUCUUUUCUCACAUGAUUUAUUUUAAUCACCAUAAUAUAUAGUUUUAUUGAUUAAUCACUUAGAACUUGGUAAAACCAUAUCUUAUUAACCGUAACUCCGAACUUAGCGAUUCUCAAACCCACGAUCUCGUAGCAACACGUAGAUCAUUAUUACGUAGCUUGUUCUUAUGUUUAGUGUGAUGUUAAUUUUGCCUAUACCAUGUUUGUUUGUAUUGCUACGUUUAGCAGUGAGGAUACGAGUCACUUGAAGAGCAUGUUGGUACCUGGAAUGUCAAGUCCUAGGCACGUUGUGCCCUUGACCACUUUUAUUUACCCAAUAAUGUUCUCUAUAAUCAUUUUAUCAUGCAUAGGUUUAAUUUUGAUGGGACCCAAUAGGUCACCUAGUAGGGUUAUCUUUUUACCUUAUUUACCCCUGAACUAUUUGGAUAGUUUUUGCUAUUGCUCUAUAUGGUUUUGGGAUUAAUAUUACAUUAUGAUUAUGUUCCAAUUAUACUAUUGUUUUACUUAUUGUUCAUGACAAGAUCAUUAUUUCAAUUGGAACAUGGAGCUUAACUUGAGAAACACGUGUCACCACAAGGGUGGAAUGGGAUGCCCUUGGCUGACUAACUAGAAAAGCUAGUGGAGGACUACCUUACCCGAUAGGGGCAAGGGCAGUAGGCGUGUAGGGAGGUUCCCAGGUUGAUUUUGCUGCGAUGGCGGUCAGACGGGAGAUUCCUGCAUUGCUCUUCUUAGAAACUAUAGCGGGUUUUCUGAAGCUAGUGGAACUUUGUAAAGACCUCGUAGUGGAUCCCUAGUCAUUUACCUCGGAAGUGUCUAAGAGCCUUGCAAACCCUGGCGACAUGGGAUACACGACUUGUGGGUACAGGGUACAACUUCUGCAGAGUGUAAAACUGGUAUACUAGCCGUGCUCGCGAUCAUGAGCAGCUCAGGACUCUCGCAUGAUUAAUUUAUGGAACUACAUUCAAUUUAUCAUAUGCAUUGCAUCACGGGUGUUGUUAUCAAUUUUGAUCUACUACUUAUUUGGGUUGGUAUCUACAUGUCCUUAGUAACUGCUAAUAAAAUUUUGACCAACCUUAAAAGCAAUGCUCAGCUUCAACCAUUCUCUUUGGUAAGCCUUACACUUCACAUGAGCUCCCACCUUUAGCGAGUUCAUGCACAUUAUUCCCCACAAUUUGUUGAGUGAUGAACAUAUGUGAGCUCACCCUUGUUGUCUCACACCCCACACAGGUCAAGAACAGGUACCGCAGGAUGAGGCGCCUGGAGGAUGUUGUGAUGAGUUUGUGAGAGGUCUAAGCCGUCAUCUCCUAGUCAACUUUGGGUUGCUGGAUCGUUUUCUUCGUACGAUGUAAUUAUUUAAUUAUUUUGUACAAAACUACU
rnacentral:lncRNA from 1 species